GGACUACCGGGGUAUCUAAUCCCGUUCGCUCCCCUGGCUUUCGCGCCUCAGCGUCAGAAAAGGUCCAGCGUGCCGCCUUCGCCACCGGAGUUCCUGUGGAUAUCAACGCAUUUCACCGCUCCACCCACAGUUCCGCACGCCCCUACCUCCCUCCAGACCGCCAGUAUUCAAGGCACUUCCCCGGUUGAGCCGGAGGAUUUCACCCCAAACUUGGCAGCCCGCCUACGCGCCCUUUAAGCCCAGUGAUUCCGAACAACGUUCGCUCGGUUCGUCUUACCGCGGCUGCUGGCAC
rnacentral:rRNA from 3 species